GCUGGGCGUGGUGGCGGGUGCCUGUAAUCCCAGCUACUCAGGAGGCUGAGGCAGGGGAAUUGCUUGAACCCGGGAGGUGGAGGUUGCAGUGAGCUGAGAUUGAGCCACUGUGCCACUGCACUCCAGCCUGGGUGACAGAGUGAGACUCUGACUCUA
rfam:Homo sapiens chromosome X, GRCh38 reference primary assembly.